GUCUUCGAGUCGUUGAUUUCACACUGCCGAGAAAAGCCUCUAGAUAGAAAAUAGGUGCCCGUACCGCAAACCGACACAGGUAGUCAAGAUGAGAAUUCUAAGGUGAGCGAGCGAACUCUCGUUAAGGAACUCGGCAAAAUGACCCCGUAACUUCGGGAGAAGGGGUGCUCUUUAGGGUUAACGCCCAGAAGAGCCGCAGUGAAUAGGCCCAAGCGACUGUUUAUCAAAAACACAGGUCUCUGCUAAACCGUAAGGUGAUGUAUAGGGGCUGACGCCUGCCCGGUGCUGGAAGGUUAAGAGGAGUGGUUAGCUUCUGCGAAGCUACGAAUCGAAGCCCCAGUAAACGGCGGCCGUAACUAUAACGGUCCUAAGGUAGCGAAAUUCCUUGUCGGGUAAGUUCCGACCCGCACGAAAGGCGUAACGAUUUGGGCACUGUCUCAACGAGAGACUCGGUGAAAUCAUAGUACCUGUGAAGAUGCAGGUUACCCGCGACAGGACGGAAAGACCCCGUGGAGCUUUACUGUAGCCUGAUAUUGAAAUUCGGCACAGCUUGUACAGGAUAGGUAGGAGCCUUUGAAACGUGAGCGCUAGCUUACGUGGAGGCGCUGGUGGGAUACUACCCUAGCUGUGUUGGCUUUCUAACCC
rnacentral:rRNA from 1 species